UACGUAGGGUCCGAGCGUUGCCCGGAAUUAUUGGGCGUAAAGGGCUCGUAGGCGGUUCGACAAGUCGGGUGUGAAAACUCCGGGCUCAACCCGGAGACGCCACCCGAUACUGUCGUGACUGGAGUCCGGUAGGGGAGUGGGGAAUUCCUGGUGUAGCGGUGAAAUGCGCAGAUAUCAGGAGGAACACCGGUGGCGAAGGCGCCACUCUGGGCCGGUACUGACGCUGAGGUGCGAAAGCGUGGGGAGCAAACAGG
rnacentral:rRNA from 1 species